GUGAAUCAUCGAAUCUUUGAACACAAAUUGCACUCUCUUCGGAGAGUAUGCCUGUUUGAGGGUCAGCCUAAAAAAUAUCGUCGUAGUCGCCGUUUCGCGGUGACACUCGUCGGAAAUUGGGUCAUCUUACACCUUUGGGUUUUUUAAGCGGCUUAAAAUUUUCUUUACGAUUCCACGAACGUUUCUAAGAUUGUACUUCUUACACACGCUUAAGUUAUCGAUCUUUAUUACAC
rnacentral:misc_RNA from 1 species